rnacentral:rRNA from 1 species
GAUUAUGGCUCAGGAUGAACGCUAGCUACAGGCUUAACACAUGCAAGUCGAGGGGCAGCAUUAAGUUAGCUUGCUAACUAGAUGGCGACCGGCGCACGGGUGAGUAACGCGUAUCCAACCUUCCCCUUACUCAGGGAUAGCCCGGUGAAAACCGGAUUAACACCUGAUAGUUUCACUAGAUGGCAUCUGACGGUGAAUAAAGCUUUGCGGUAAGGGAUGGGGAUGCGUCUGAUUAGCUUGUUGGCGGGGUAACGGCCCACCAAGGCAACGAUCAGUAGGGGUUCUGAGAGGAAGGUCCCCCACAUUGGAACUGAGACACGGUCCAAACUCCUACGGGAGGCAGCAGUGAGGAAUAUUGGUCAAUGGGCGAGAGCCUGAACCAGCCAAAAGUAGCGUGCAGGAUGACGGCCCUAUGGGUUGUAAACUGCUUUUGUACGGGAAUAAAGUGACCUACGUGUGGGUUUUUGCAUGUACCGUAAGAAUAAGGACCGGCUAAUUCCGUGCCAGCCGCCGC